rnacentral:snRNA from 1 species
CGGGCGGAGCGGCCGUCG